CAGGAGUCGGCGGUGAUUUGAUAAGUAGUUGUUCGUAAAUUGAAUGACAGGGAAUUUCAAUUCUGUUUCUUCGUGGAAGGGAAAAGUAUUUUAAAAGUGCCGUUCUGUGUGUGCUGAGAAAUCUGACGAGGCAAAUGUGGAACCCACUGACUUCUUUUAACCCCUGCGCUGUAAACAGGAGAAGCUUCACAGGUUAUGCUGAACUGCUGCUGCUAAGUUAACAAAUUUCACAUCAGAUGCUGGUGAUAAUAAACCCGAUUCUGAUUCUAAGGAGUAUGAGAUAGAGAAUGGGACUCCACAGGGGAGUGUGUGUAGUCUACUCUGUUUUAAUAUUAUGAUUAAUGAUAUUUUCUUAAAUGUUGGCACAGACUUAUCCAGAUCAUUAUAUGCUGAUGCUGGUGCAGUGUGGAAGAGAGGCAGGAAUA